AAAUGCGACCUGAGGCUCCGGCUGGGCGGGGGUGGCUGUGGGUGAUGGUUCGGCCUUGGGAUGCUGAGAAAUUCCGUGAAGGAAAACAGCGUGGGAAGAGAGAAACCGGGGCAAAAAGGGAAAAGGCUGGGCAGUGAGGAGAGAAAACAGCCCUACUGAUUAGAAAGCGCUCUGCCGGCUAAAGGAGCCACAAGGCAGAGGCCCUGAGGGACGACCCUUUUAAGAAGCGCAAAAUGACCGCUGUGUAGGCAGGUGUGCUAGGUGAAGUCCGAGAGGUAGCCGGGGGCUAGGUCCUGUUGGUUUUUAUUCUAAGAAAAAUGGGAAGUGGUUGAAAGAUACCAGAGGGAUGAUGGGAUAUGUCUUAAGUUUCAGAAAGAUGCCUCUGCUGACCGUGAAUAGACCAGAGAGCAGUCGCAAGGAUAGAGAGAUUGUAAAGGUGGAGGCAAAGAGAUUGUAGAGUUGAAGGUGAUUGCAAGUGAGGAGUUGAAUGCUAAUGUGACUGAAGUUGUCGUGAGUAAGGACUGAUAGGAAAUAGCCACGGGCCGGAUCAGAUAGAGUCUUGUAAAUCAUGGAAUUCUUUCCAGAAGAGUUGGGAGGCCCCACUUAAGUUUUGCAAGGAAUAUUCAGGUGGCCGUAUGUGAAUAGGCCAUAGAGGAGUGAGAAUGGAAGCAGGCAGAGUUCAGGUAAGAAGCUGUUACAGGGAUGGAGAGAGGUGGUGGAAAUAGUAGGUUGUAGAUUUUGGGGACCUAAUUUGAAGAUAGAGCCAACAGGUAAUCUCUGAAAAUUCAAUUAACUAUCAAGAAGAAAAAGGGAUUUUAUUCAAGCCAGAGGUUUAUAAAGUAGAAGCAGAUUCUCAGAAACUCUGAGAGUCCUUAACACCUUUUAGAAGUUGAAGGCAUAGCAGGUACAUUUUCAAGACAGAGGAUUGUACAUCAAAAUGACAUACUGAUGUUCUACAUAGAGUUCACCAAGGAUACACAAUCCAGGAUUGAAUACUGCUGGGAGGUGGAGUAAGACUUGUCUUUCCACUCACAACAAAGGACUGUCUCCAAACCACUGUUUCCUCAUUUGCAAAGAUGAAACAGGAGAAUCGCACCCAUCUUGGGUUGUUAAAAGGUGUGAACAUGCCUGGUGCAUAAAGAUCAAAGCCAUCCGCCCAUCCAUCCAGUGCUGCCUCCCUCUCAGGUCAGCCGUGAGUGUCAAAGGAGCUGAGAAGGAGGAAGUGCUUUGCCAACUGUGCAGCACUCUGCAGAAGCCUAAACUACUGUGGGAAUUUUUCCCUGUUCCUGUUACAAGGUUCUUUCACCCCAAAUCAACUUCAGUUCCAAAAUUCACAUGAAAGGGGUCCGGAAGAUUAAAAGUGUACCUUGUUUAACCUUUUUGAUUCAAUUCUGCCUAUCACUUAGGCAAUGAUUACAAAACAUAAAAUGUGUACUUUGCAGAGCGUGUUUCUGCAAGUUUCGUAGGCUCUGAAAACCACUGCCCUUCAAUCUUAAUGAGAGGAGCUGAAGCCAGAGAGCACAGAUGCCCCAGAUUACUGAAGUCUGCAGUGCCAUAAGUCUUCACAUCUCCCUUCAGCCGUGAUGACCCAGCCACCUUAGCACCUGCUGCGUGCUUUGUCUCUGGAAGGAGAAAGCUGAGAACCCAAGGACAGUGUGACCUCAGGUCUUGGAGAAGAGCCCCCAGUACAUGGCAGGCCCUUCUAGGCACAGAGGAAAGCUACAGGCAGUGAGCAAGACAGCUCUAGUCCCUGUUCUCACAGCAUGGUUUCAAAUACAAGGAAGAUAAGAAAAGUAACAUCCCCUGUGGUAAAUGCCAUGAGAGUGAUGGCAUGGUGUCUCUGAGAAAUGAAACGAGGUGCUAUUUCUAUGAAAUUUCUCAAGGCUGUGAAAGGACAUUAUUAGAAAUUAAAAAAAAAGAAAAGAAAGAAAAUCCCACUAUACAGGAGAAGGGGAUGACAGAGGGUGAG